rnacentral:rRNA from 1 species
CAGUCGCCGCGGUAAUGCGUAGGUCCCGAGCGUUGUCCGGAUUUAUUGGGCGUAAAGCGAGCGCAGGCGGUUAGAUAAGUCUGAAGUUAAAGGCUGUGGCUUAACCAUAGUACGCUUUGGAAACUGUUUAACUUGAGUGCAAGAGGGGAGAGUGGAAUUCCAUGUGUAGCGGUGAAAUGCGUAGAUAUAUGGAGGAACACCGGUGGCGAAAGCGGCUCUCUGGCUUGUAACUGACGCUGAGGCUCGAAAGCGUGGGGAGCAAACAGGAUUAGAUCCGCGUAGUCCCUGUCUCUUAUACACA